GUCGGGAUAGCUCAGCUGGUAGAGUAGAGGACUGAAAAUCCUCGUGUCACA
rnacentral:tRNA from 1 species